GGUCGCUCAGCCUCCAAACCUCUACAGACAUUCAGAGCUGGGAGGACUGCUCACCCCGUCUCUGGAUCGCCUCUGACGAGAUCCACGAACUCAGAUUCAAACUCAAAUCCUAAUUUGGCUCAGCUCGGUGAGAGAGAUUCCUUUUAAUUUGGGAAAAAACAAAAAGAAAAUAUAACUAGGAAAAGAGAUAAUAUUUCUAAAACGACUAUGUGGCUGAAAACAUCUAAAAUAUAAUAAUUAGGACCAAACAAUUUUUUUUAAUUAAAAAACUUAAUAGUCGGGUAAAAUUAAUUAGGUCAAAGUGUGCCCUGGUGGUCGAGACGGUGGUUGCUAAGGGUUGGCUCGUGGAACCGAGCUUCCGUCUGUACUGAGGAUACAGACAUGUUUUUCUGAUCUGUGCGUGGUCCACACGUGGGGGACUGAGUAUAAAAGACGGCUUCUGAAAGAGGGAGUGCGUUUGCAGAGUGAAGUAUUUUCAAGAGACGAGGGCCCCGGGCCUAGAGGGGCCUAACGUUGAGGAAGUACUUCGUGAAAGACUCUGUCGCCAGAUCGGGUUGGUUCCCUUUUUACGGAGACGUCCGAUAAAAAGGCAUUUUGGGAAGGUUCCGGCCGGAACACAUAAAAAUCUAAGGCAGAAAACCGCCGGGACUCUGAAAGAUGGGUUCGGGGCGAUCUAAGUCUCCACCACCAGACUGCAGCAUUACAAAACUAAAGAACUGAGCGCGAUGAGGGUAAAUCCGGAUCUGGACUCCUUUCCCACCAUCAGCAGAAGAACCGAAGGAGAAGAAGCGCCUGAGCAACAACCAGAACAGGGUGGAAGCUCCACAGCAGCUGGAGGACACAGACCACAGCAUGGACGCCUCACAGACUCCCACAACGUCUGCAGCCAUCACGUUCUGGGCUCCUCAGAUGAACCAGCUACUACAAGCAUGUGUGUCUGACACAGACACCUGCUUAUGACAAUCAGCAAAGGAAAACAAGGACAGAGCAACAGCAGAGAAGACGUGCUCUGACACAGACACUGGUUGAAACAACAGGAGAGGCUUCAGACGUGAUCGGCCCAAAAGAGCUGCAUCUGAGGAUCCAGGAAAGGUCUGUCAUCGAGGAACAACUGUCCCAUUAAAAGGCUUCACCCGCUGGCGCUCACAUUAGACUGAUGGUUGGGGAAGGAGGAAGGUGACGGUUCCUUUUCACGUGAUGUACAAGACGGUACCGCAAACACACACACACAUUCAUACACGCAAUGAAGAAACACGCUUACAGCUGAUACACGCUCAAAUUCAUGUUCAUGCUUAUCUGCUUGCAAUGAAGAAUCGCUUUUUGCUCAAAAAAAAAAAUCCCACAGAGUGAUUUUAAAAAUAUGACAAACAGCUAAAUGACAACUGCUGCAUGACUUUACAGUCUGAUGGGUUUAAACUAUUUUAACUUGCAACAAAUUCAGUAAUAAAAUCCUUCAUGUUUCUAAAAGGGUUUGUGCACAAUGUAGGUUUGUCUGGCCAGACUAGAAGACUAUAGGAAACAAAACAGACUGUAGAGAAAACAAAAACAGACUAUAGAAAAACAAAAUCAGACGGUAGAAAAACAAAACAGACUGUAGGAAAACAAAAACAAAACCAGACUAUAGGAAGACUGAAACUGACUGAAACAGACUAUCAAUGACUAUUAAAGGGAAGACGACUAUUAGAGAGAAGUAAUAAUAAUUACUGUACGUACCAGACUAUUAAAGAAAACCCUAUUCUUUCACUGUCUUGUGCAACAUCUGACAGCAAGACACCGUAACAUUCAUUUUUGCUUUCAAACUUAUGCCCAGUUUAAAUUUUUAGGAAGAGAUCUCAUGUGUAGUUUAGGUAUUUGAUUGAUUUCCACUCCAGACGAAGUGCAGGUUACAUCUACAGACAUUCUAAAUAAUCCCUCUUUUGUUGGUGUUAACUUCAGCUCAGCUGUGCUCCUAUCAUUGGCUGCUGAGGGGGGGCUGUAACUGAGGCCCUCACACAGGCUGCAUCACAGCUUGUUUAUGAUUUCACACACACACAAACUGACCUCAACUUCCCUCUUUUGGGAUGAACACAGGUCUGCGCUUGCGAUUUCUUUUACUAACGAACAAAAAAGAUUUUUGAUGUUUAUUUUACAGUUCCACACGUCCCUCUGUGAAAACAUGAUGGAGACAGAUGCAGGACGUGGGUCCUUUCGUGAACAGAUGUCAACGGGGUAGAGACUGGUGAACGACUUCUGACCCCAUGUGACGUAUUCACCUACUUUGCAUACUUUUAGAAAACUUCUUUUUAUUCUGCCUGUUAUGUGCAGCAAACAGUGAACUUGGUACCUCCACAUUCUAAUGACACACUACAUGCUUUUGUUUUUAUUUUCAUUUUUCAGAGGACGCUCUGACCCAACACUCAGCCUUACAGGAAGCCCUGCUUCCAUGUGGCUCACACACAGACAUGAUGUAGGUUCGAUCAGAGGAUGUGAACCAGUGGUCAUCGCACCUAAAUCUGACCACAGACCA